GAUGAACGUUGGCGGUGUGCCUAAUACAUGCAAGUCGAACGGAGUUAAUAGCAAUAUUGACUUAGUGGCGAACGGGUGAGUAACGCGUUGGUGAUCUGCCUUGAAGUGUGGAAUAACGCUCCGAAAGGAGCGCUAAUACCGCAUGUGCUCUCAAUUUUUAGAAAGUUGAGAGGAAAGGAUUUAUUCGCUUCGAGAGGAGCCUGCGUCCCAUCAGCUGGUUGGUAGGGUAAAGGCCUACCAAGGCAAUGACGGGUAGGGGACCUGAGAGGGUGGCCCCCCAAAUGGAACUGAAACACGGUCCAUACACCUACGGGUGGCAGCAGUAGGGAAUAUUAGAAAUGGACGAAAGUCUGAUCUAGCAACACCGCGUGUGCGAAGAAGGGCCCUUCGGGGUCGUAAAGCACUUUUUGGAAGGAAUAGGAAGGAAUGUACUUCCAGAAUAAGUCUCGGCUAACUACGUGCCAGCAGCCGCGGUAAGCUAGUCUACG
rnacentral:rRNA from 1 species